rnacentral:lncRNA from 10 species
ACUGGGACUACAGGCAUGUACUACCACGUCCAGCUAAUUUUUUUUUUCUUUUUUUUUUAGAGAUGGGGUCUCACUCUGUUGCCCAGGCUAAUGCCAAACUGCUAACCUCAAGAUAUUAAUACUAUACAGUAGACUAUAAGAAAUUAAGUAUUUGUAUCAUCCCUAGAGCGACACAGAUUUUUCCCUAAAAAACUACAGAUUAUUUUCAAAAGCAUUAAUAAAUUAAGGUGGAAUACUAAAAAAGAUUCAGGUAACCCAGGAACGAGAAACAGAAUAAAACAAUAGUAAACCUAAAUUUUAUUUUAUUUCAUUAAUACAGCAAUAAUUAAAUGUCAAUGAUCUAAGCUGAUUUAAAUCUAAAAACUGGAUAAGAAGCUGUGGCUUGUAAUUAAAAAUAGACCUUUAUUCACUAGA